AGAAUCAACGCUGGCGGCGUGCCUAACACAUGCAAGUCGAACGAGAAAGUGGAGCAAUCCAUGAGUAAAGUGGCGCACGGGUGAGUAACACGUGACUAACCUACCCUUGAGUGGGGAAUAACCUCGGGAAACCGGGGCUAAUACCGCAUAACACCUACGGGUCAAAGGAGCAAUUCGCUUAAGGAGGGGGUCGCGGCAGAUUAGUUAGUUGGCGGGGUAAUGGCCCACCAAGACGGUGAUCUGUAUCCGGCCUGAGAGGGCGCACGGACACACUGGAACUGAAACACGGUCCAGACUCCUACGGGAGGCAGCAGUGGGGAAUUUUGCGCAAUGGGGGAAACCCUGACGCAGCAACGCCGCGUGGAGGAUGAAGUCCCUUGGGACGUAAACUCCUUUCGAUCGGGACGAUUAUGACGGUACCAGAAGAAGAAGCCCCGGCUAACUUCGUGCCAGCAGCCGC
rnacentral:rRNA from 1 species